GACGGAGGGGGCUAGCGUUGUUCGGAAUUACUGGGCGUAAAGAGCGCGUAGGCGGCAUGGCAAGUUGGAAGUGAAAUCCCGGGGCUUAACCUCGGAACUGCUUUCAAAACUGCUGAGCUAGAGUAUGGUAGAGGGUGAUAGAAUUCCUAGUGUAGAGGUGAAAUUCUUAGAUAUUAGGAGGAAUACCGGUGGCGAAGGCGGUCACCUGGGCCAUUACUGACGCUGAGGCGCGAAAGCGUGGGGAGCAAAC
rnacentral:rRNA from 1 species